AUGAACGCUGACAGAAUGCUUAACACAUGCAAGUCGCUGGGGAAGUGGUGCUUGCACCAUGGCAACCAUGGCGGACGGGUGAGUAACGCGUAAGGGACUUACCUGCAGGACUGGGAUAACAGGGGGAAACUCCUGACAAGACCGGAUAAUGUCAUGGAGCUGCAUGGCUUUAUGAUGAAAGGAGACGCCUGCGGAGAGCCUUGCGUCCUAUUAGCUAGUUGGUGAGGUAAUGGCUCACCAAGGCGAAGAUAGGUAGCCGGCCUGAGAGGGUGGACGGCCAAAAGGGGACUGAGAUACGGCCCUUACUCCUACGGGAGGCAGCAGUGGGGAAUAUUGGACAAUGGGGGCAACCCUGAUCCAGCAAUUCUGUGUGCACGAAGAAGGUUUUCGGAUUGUAAAGUGCUUUCAGCAGGGAAGAAGUAAGUGACGGUACCUGCAGAAGAAGCGACGGCUAAAUACG
rnacentral:rRNA from 1 species